rnacentral:lncRNA from 1 species
UCGAGCAACCAAUCAUCAUACUCUUUCCAUGUAUACAGGUAUCCGAGCCCAAAGGUAAUACCAUGACGUUUUAGCUGUAUCGGUUUGGUAAUACCUUGGAGAUUCUUCCUAAGCUCUUUGCCGGGUUCAUAUCCAGACCAUGCUAGUAUGCUUUCGAUUUUGUUAAUCCACCAUUUAUCUUUCUCAACGGCAUUGACACAUUUGAUAUGAUUAUAGGUUUCCCCUCCUAGCCUUCUUCUGUUCUUAAUAACCGGGAUGGUUUGUGUCACGAUCCUAAGUACCGGUCAUGAUGGCACCUAUCACAUUACUAGGCAAGCAAGACCAAUUAUCAAACCACAACCCAUUUUCAUUUUAAUAAAUCAUUUGCUAACACGGUUUAAUUACCAAUUAUCAUAAUAAGUGUUUAAAAUAGCAAGGUAGAUACGCGAAAGUCAACCAAAAACAUGAAAGACUACAUGAACCAUACUGAUUUGGUGUCAUGAGUCUAGAGCCUCUAAAGCAAGUAUGAAAAGCCUACUACAUAGAUAGUCUAGAAAUGCGAUAAAAGCAAUAAGAUAGAAGGGAAAUAUUAGGGCUGCGGACGCUAUGAAACUACCUCAAAAUCCCCCACAAAUGCUGGAAAACAGUUGGAAGCUCUCACUCGGCCGUUGGGGCACCUGCAUCUUCACACAAUGUGCAUGGAGUAACAUAAGUACGCCAACUCAGUAAGUAACUAAAGUAAAUAAUGGACUGAAAGCAAUGACGAGUAGUUCAAAACAUAUAACUUUAAAACUAGAUCUGUCAUAAAUCAUUUCCAGUUUAAAACUUUGAAAUCAGUUACUUUACAAUAUAUCCAUAUGAGGCUUAUUUAUAAGAAGAGUGAAAACAGUAGAAACAUCAAAACGGGGCCUCUCGGGCAAAGGAUCACUCAAAAUAUGGUCCCUCGGGCAGCCUCUCAGUCUCUCGCGACUCAGCUCUCAUCACUCAGUACUCACUCUCAGCACUAGGCUCAUUUAAUCUCAUAAUUAUAGAAAUCACAGUAAUCGUUGUGGCGUGCAGCCCGAUCCAUAUAUUGAUAGUCGAUUACGCUCACUAGGGUUGUUUAGACUCCGGAGGGACUCCUACUGCCCAAGCGUGAUAUCUUUGUGGCGUGCAACCUGAUCCAAUAUAUGUAUCGUUGUGGCAUGCAACCCGAUCCAUAUAAGUUAGUUGUGGCAUGCAACCCGUCCAUAAUAUAUACAUAUAAUAUCCUCACCAUAAGGUUUUCAACCUCUCUCAGUCAUUAGCCUCAGAACCUCUCGGGCACCACAACAGAAAUUAGGGAACUUAGCCCAAACAGUCCUCACCAUAAGAGCAGAAUGAUAAAACUAAUUUUAAAUAUUUAACAUGCAAAACAUGAAUGAAGAUAUGCUUUUAACAAGUAAAGCGAAGAAAAUAGUUAAAAUGCCCCAAGGGUUGCUACAUAUCGGCACAAGGCCCCAACCCCAAUAUAUGUAUCGUUGUGGCAUGCAACCCGAUCCAUAUAAGUUAGUUGUGGCAUGCAACCCGUCCAUAAUAUAUACAUAUAAUAUCCUCACCAUAAGGUUUUCAACCUCUCUCAGUCAUUAGCCUCACAGCGUCUCGAGCAUCACAACAGGAAUUAGGGAACUCAGCCCAAACAGUCCUCACAAUAGGAGUGGAGUGAUAAAAUCAGUUUUAAACAUUUAAUAGGUAAAAACAUGACCGAGAAUAUGCUUUUAACAAGUGAAGUGAGGAAAAUAGUUAAAUGGCCCCUAAGGGUUUCUAUAGAUCGGCACGAGGCCCUAAACAUGGCAUAAGCCCAUUAUACAGUAUAAGGAUCCAAAAUCCAGUAUAAUAUAACACUUCCAUACAUAGCUUAAUAGUCGCUACAGGACGGACCAAGUCAAAAUCACCUGCCGGUGCACGCCCAUACGCUCGUCAUCUAACAUGUGCGUCACCACAUUUAUCAAAUUAAGUCAUAUACCGGGGUUUGUGCCCUCAUUUCAAACUUUACAAUGGUUACUUACCUCAAAUCAGUGAAAAUGCUACUCCGCGACGCCUUUGCUUCUCAAAUCGGCCUCCACUCGCAUCGAAUCUAGUAAAAAUCAAAAUGAAUACGUCACAAUAUGCUAAGGGAACAAAGCCCAAGAGAAAACAAUCAAAAAAUACCAAAAUUAGCAAAACCCGAGCUCCAAGCCCACUUCUCGAAAAUCAGAAAUUUUUACAUCAACGAAUGCGGUCAAACUCUUGCGUUCGCGAAACACAAAUUCGUGUUGACCAACUUUUACUCUACGCGAAUGCGACAUGCAAGUCGCUAACGCGAUGCCUUCUCCUCCUAUACCUUCGUGAAUGCGAAGACCCUUACGUGAACGCAAUGAACAAUUCCCCUAGGACCCAAUUCCUUAUACGCGAUCGCGAACACCUUAUCGCAACCGCGAUGGACAACCUCACGAUCCCUUCAUGAACGCAAAACUUGCCUCAUGAAUAUGAAGGCUAAACCUUCACCUCCGUCACUAUACUCUUCGCGAACGCGAGGGUCCUCCCGCGAAUGGGAAGACCAAAAAUCUACACCUACUGGAACUGAUUUUCUGCAAUUUCCCAAACUCUAAAAUGAUCUGAUUGACCACCCAAAACUCACCCGAGGCCCCCGAAAGCUCAACCAAAAGCACCAACACAUCGUAACUCCUUGUUCAAACUUGAUCCAAUCAUCAAAACACCUCAAACAACAUCAAAUUACCUCAAAUUACCUAAAACACAUCAGCGCCUAAGAUUUUAAAAAUAUUCCAAAAUACGUUUUCGAAUAAAACCCCAACCAAACCACGUCUGAAUGACAUGAAAUUUUGCACUCACAUACCAAAUGACAUAACAAAGCUACUACAACUCUCAGAAUUCCAUUCCGAAUCUCAAAUCAAAAUCUCACCUACCAACCGAAAAUCGACAAAAUAUCAACUUCGCAAAUGCAAGCCUUAUUCUACUCCGGACCUCAAAAAUCAAUUCCGAUCAUACUCCUAAGUCACAAAUCACCUCCUGAAGCUAACGAACCAUCGUAACUCGCAUCCAAGCCCUCUAACACAUAAGUUAACAUACGCUUGACUUUUCAGCCUUCUUAAAAUAGACUAAGUGUCUCAAACCUUGCCAAAAUAAUUUCGGACUCUCUCCUACUGCCCAAGCGUCAUAUCUCUGUGGCGUGCAUCCUAAUACAAUAUAUGUAUCGUUGUGGCGUGAAACCCGAUCCAUAUAAGUAUAG